rnacentral:rRNA from 1 species
UACGUAGGGGGCAAGCGUUGUCUGGAUUUAUUGGGCGUAAAGAGCGUGUAGGCGGCCAGACAGGUCCGUUGUGAAAACUCGAGGCUCAACCUCGAGACGCCGAUGGAAACCGUCUGGCUAGAGUCCGGGAAGAGGAGAGUGGAAUUCCUGGUGUAGCGGUGAAAUGCGCAGAUAUCAGGAAGAACACCCGUGGCUAAGGCGGCUCUCUAGUACGGUACUGACGCUGAGACGCGAAAGCGUGGGGAGCGAACAGG